GUCAGAUUGGCCGAGCGGUCUACCGCGCCAGAUUUAAGCUCUGGUUCCCAAUUGGGAGCGUGGGUUCGAACCCCCCCACACCUGACA
rnacentral:tRNA from 1 species